rnacentral:rRNA from 1 species
AUUGAACGCUGGCGGCAUGCCUUACACAUGCAAGUCGAACGGUAACGGGCCUUCGGGUGCCGACGAGUGGCGAACGGGUGAGAAUACAUCGGAACGUGCCCGAUCGUGGGGGAUAACGAGGCGAAAGCUUUGCUAAUACCGCAUACGAUCUACGGAUGAAAGCAGGGGACCGCAAGGCCUUGCGCGGACGGAGCGGCCGAUGGCAGAUUAGGUAGUUGGUGGGAUAAAAGCUUACCAAGCCGACGAUCUGUAGCUGGUCUGAGAGGAUGAUCAGCCACACUGGGACUGAGACACGGCCCAGACUCCUACGGGAGGCAGCAGUGGGGAAUUUUGGACAAUGGGCGCAAGCCUGAUCCAGCCAUGCCGCGUGCAGGAUGAAGGCCUUCGGGUUGUAAACUGCUUUUGUACGGAACGAAAAGCCUUCUUUUAAUACAGGAGGGUCAUGACGGUACCGUAAGAAUAAGCACCGGCUAACUACGUG